rnacentral:rRNA from 1 species
GUAGGGAAUAUUGCGCAAUGGGCGAAAGCCUGACGCAGCGACGCCGCGUGUGGGAGGAAGCCUUUCGGGGUGUAAACCACUGUCAGGGGGGAAGAACGCCGCCGAUCCGAAUACGGUCGGCGAUUGACGGUACCCUCACAGGAAGCGCCGGCUAACUCCGUGCCAGCAGCCGCGGUAAGACGGAGGGCGCAAGCGUUGUUCGGAAUUACUGGGCGUAAAGCGCGGGCAGGUGGUCUGUUAAGUCGUUUGUGAAAAUCCGGGGCUCAACCCCGCGAAAUGCAAGCGAUACUGGCAGACUGGAGAUCGGUAGAGGCUAGCGGAAUUCCUGGUGUAGCGGUGGAAUGCGUAGAUAUCAGGAAGAACACCUGUGGCGAAGGCGGCUAGCUGGGCCGAGUCUGACACUCAUCCGCGAAAGCGUGGGGAGCAAACAGG